rnacentral:rRNA from 1 species
AUUGAACGCUGGCGGCAGGCCUAACACAUGCAAGUCGAACGAGUGGCGGACGGGUGAGUAAUGUCUGGGAAACUGCCUGAUGGAGGGGGAUAACUACUGGAAACGGUAGCCAAUACCGCAUACCAUCGGAUGUGCCCAGAUGGGAUUAGCUAGUAGGUGGGGUAAAGGCUCACCUAGGCGACGAUCCCUAGCUGGUCUGGGAGGAUGACCGGCCACACUGGAACGUGUACACGGUCCUAACUCCUAGGGGAGGCAACGUUGGGGAAUAUUGCACAAUGGGCGCAGGCCUAAUGCAGCCAUGCCGCGUGUAUGAAGAAGGCCUUCGGGUUGUAAAGUACUUUCAGCGGGAAGGCGUUACCCGCAGAAGAAGCGCAGGCUAACUCCGUGCCAGCAGCCGCGGUAAUAC